CCUACGGGAGGCAGCAGUGGGGGAUAUUGGUCAAUGGGGGAAACCCUGAACCAGCGACGCCGCGUGAGGGAAGACGGCCUUCGGGUUGUAAACCUAAGUGAUCAGGGAUGAAACAAAUGACAGUACCUGAGCAGCAAGCUCACGCUAACUACGUGCCAGCAGCCCCGGUAAUACGUAGGGAGCAAGCGUUGUCCGGAUUUACUGGGUGUAAAGGUUGCGUAGGCGGGAAAACAAGUCAGUGGUGAAAUACCGGGGCUCAACGCCGGGGCUGCGUUUGAAACGGGGUGUCUUGAGUGAAGUAGAGGCAGGCGGAAUUCCUAGUGUAGCGGUGGAAUGCGUAGAUAUCAGGAGGAACACCAGUGGCGAAGGCGGCCUGCUGGGCUUUAACUGACGCUGAGGCACGAAAGCAUGGGGAGCAAACAGGAUUAGAUACCCGAGUAGUC
rnacentral:rRNA from 1 species